ensembl:snRNA U2 U2 spliceosomal RNA
AUCAAUUCUCUGCCUUUUGGCUAAGAUCAAGUGUAGUAUCUGUUCUUAUCAGUUUUACCAUCAGGGAACGCCAACCCUACUGAUGGAACCGAGAAACACUU